AUAGCCCACCCCAAUCUACCCACCUCAUCCCCAUAUUGUUUUUAUUUACUUUACUGCUCUUUUGCACACCAGUAUCACUACUUGCUCAUCUAUCACUCCAGUGUUAGUCUGCAAAAUGUUUAUUACUUUGAAACUAUGGCCUAUUUAUUGCCUUACCUCCUCACGCCAUUUGCACACACUGUAUAGACUUCUUUUUUUCUAUUGUGUUAUUGACUGACUCUGUGUUGUUGUUUGUGUCGCACUGCUUUGCUUUAUCUUGGCCAGGUCGCAGUUGUAAAUGAGAACUUGUUCUCAACUAGCUUACCUGGUUAAAUAAAGGUGAAAUAAACAAAAAAUCCCAGAGGAUCCCAGAUGGCUAACAAUAACAUAACCUGACAUAACGUAAACGUUAUACAUUAAGCUCUCUCCCUCAGUGACAUGAAUUAGUAUAUUUCAUAUUCUCAGAACCCAACAGUAGGUUUUAAGGUGUGGCUGCAUGUUUGUCGUGGACGCAUUGUCACUCUUGAUGUUCUUUUUCCAGAUUGCAAGUGAAACACCUUUAGAUGUAAGUGCCAGUUGGUAACUUUCUCACACUUGCUUGUUUAAGGUAUGGAUGCAACACCCCAGUAUGUCUGCAGGGGCUGGUCACUGAGAUUUACCAUGUUUCACAUGCUACUAGACUAACCUUCCAAGUAAAUAUGUUACAAGUCUGAACUGGCCAUCCUGGUCUUUCCUCAACUAAUUGAAACCUCAGGGACAGACAUGCUAAACGACUUUGAUGUCAGAGCUCCCAUCAGCCCUCUACACCUCGCUGCGUACCACGGCCACCACCAUGCUAUGGAGGUCCUGGUUCAGUCUCUGCUGGAUCUAGACGUGAGGGACAGCCAGGGGCGCACCCUCUGGACCUGUCUGCCUUAAAAUGCCAUGUGGAGUGUGUUGACGUCCUCAUCAACCAGGGAGCCUCCAUCCUGGUUAAAUACUUCACCCUAAAGAGGACCCCCAUCCACGCUGCAGGCGGUGACGGGUCACGAGGAGUGCAGCACAGCGCCAGCUUCCUGGUUCGGAAAGGUAAGGGGCGGAGCCCUGUCCACCUGGUGGCGACGUCCGGACACAUCGUGGUGCUGGGGUGGCUCCUACACACCGCCCAGUCAGUGUGGACCCUCCCCGUCAUCACAGACAACCAGGGCUACACGCCACUACACUUGGCCUGCUACAACGGUACGUACUGGACAGAGGGACAGCGAAGUGAGCCCGAGGCCACAAACAAAUACACACAUAAAUAUAGCGUGUCUUAAAUCACCACAGCCAGCUUCGGGAGGGCACGAACCGAGACAGUCCGCACAGGAGCCUUAAAAGUCCCUCAGACUGAGAGAGAGGGAGGAACAACAGGCUGGCUGGCCCACACUCAUCCUCUCGUACCACCAGGUGUCCUUCCAGCAGAUACUGGACUUCAGAGGAACUGCUGCUUCUAUACCCCAUCUUUACCUUUACCCACAAAGGUCCUAAACGGUAGAAAGUGUCCGGCCAACAGACAGACACCUUAUGAUGGCAAUAACCUGUAGUCCAAGGGGAUAGUAGCACUUCACUGAGAGCAAAACAGACAGGGAUCAAAAGAUGUGGAAGAAGCAUUUUCAAAAGCUGUUUUGACUGUAGAUAUUGGGCUGAGUGUUUGGGCUGAGAAAAGACAUUAGGAGUGAUGUUUCAUUUAAGUUUCAUGAGAGUGAUUGUCAUGUUAAUCCGCACACUAAGACAGUCAGAACGCACCUAGCCUCUUGUCUGUAAUCCAUGUGGGAGGAGGGGAAAUCAUACAUUUUUUAUGAACAAACAUUUGAAUAAAAUCAUUCAUGUCUUAAGGUCUGUGGGAAUCAAAACAUCGUAGUAUUUGCUCUCAUGAGUAAUUGUAAAGUUUUGAUGAUCCCAAAUGGAACCCUAUUCCCUAUACUGAAUAUUGAACAGGGCCCAUAGUGGUCUGGUCAGAAGCAGUGCACUCUAAAGGAAAUAGGGUGCCAUUUAGGAUGCUGGUUUUGCAUACCGGUAUGUGACCAACAGGACUUUUUGAUGGGACAUAUUACAUUUGUGUUAUUAAACCUACCUGUCCUUUGCCCUCUAGAAAAUAUUUUUUAAAGUAAAUGAUUAAUUCAUGUAUUCUUUCUUGUGAUAUUUAUGUCAUCAUUUUAUGCCUUCGUUAGUUACUGAGGGGUGGUUAGGAGAGUAGGGGCACCUGUAUGAGCGAAAACAAUGAUGCACACUAAGUACUACAACGUUUGUGAAAAGCACUGAUACUAUCCCGAGGCAUGUGAGGUGGAAAACAUGUCUCCCUUGGAGAGGAAAAACACUGUAAACCAAUGGUAGGACAGCAGCAAUUAGAUUUUCGUCUUCUGGAAAAUAAAUAUCUAUAUUAUUUGUCUUUGGUCUUAUAAUCAAUGUUUUUUUAACAGGUUUUGCUUGCUUUAACUUCUUCAAAAAAUGA